ensembl:lncRNA
UUCGACUGUCAUGCUAAGCUAGCUAACGCUAUUAGCAUCUUACCUCAGAGAAAACAAAGGAGUUUUUAUUGAUCGUUGAUGGAUUCAGUCUUCCACAUGUUUAAUCCAUAAGUGACAUCAACCCUCUAAAGGCCUCUGGUCCCUAGUUACGGUUGCUAACGUAGGAAUGUACAGUGUGCGUUGGGGGAGGGGCUUAGCCGAGGGUCGGUUGUAUCUGAACUGCUUCUCUGAGGCCUUUGACUCUCAUCGUCUCUCCAUCAGAUGGACCUUCAUCCUGAGUAUGAGGACCUCUCAGACAUGGCAGCACAGAGAGAAGACCCAGAGGAGCAGGAGGACCGGGUGUGAAGAUGCAGUCAAACCAGAGGGAGACUCACCUGGACGGAGACAGGAACAAGUGAACAUAUUUCCCUUCAGUACCACAAGUUAUUAUCUGAGGUCUUUACAAAGUUAAAACUGUACUUUUUAUUUCGUUCUCUUUGUUCUUGAAUCA